rnacentral:rRNA from 1 species
AUGUUGUUACUAGUGGACUCCGGGAGCUCUCACACAUUCAUUGACAGGCAAUUAGCAGACAAACUGAAACACAAAGCCACUAUGCUUGAUAAGGCCCUACAAGUCAAAGUAGCAAAUGGGGAGCAGCUUCAGUGUGAAACUGAGAUGGUGGGCUUACCCUGGUGGAUUAAUGGACACACCUUCACUUCUGAUAUGAAGGUGGUGGACUUGGGAGGGUAUGAUGCUAUUCUAGGAAUGGAUUGGUUGGCCCAGUGGGGAUCUAUGGUCUGUCAUUGGGAAGAGAAGUGGCUACAGUUUGACAGAAAUGGACAACAGAUCAGGUUGCAGGGCAUUGUGGAGAAACAACAAACUGAGAUUCAAGCUAUCACUGUGGAACAAAUGCUCAAAUGGCAAAAAGGGAAUGAUAUUUGGGCUACUGCAGUUGUCUCUCCAACUUUGCACACCGAGAAUCAUGAAGUGCCAGCCUGCAUUUCA